rnacentral:misc_RNA from 1 species
AACGCACAUUGCGCCCUUUGGUAUUCCGAGGGGCAUGCCUGUUCGAGCGUCAUUAUGACCACUCAAGCCUAGCUUGGUAUUGGGGUUCGCGGUCUCGCGGCUCCUAAAAUCAGUGGCGGUGCCGUCUGGCUCUAAGCGUAGUAAUUUUCUCGCUAUAGAGUCCGGGUAGUGGCUUGCCAAAACCUUAACUUCUCACGGUUGACCUCGGAUCAGGUAGGGAUACCCGCUGAACUUAA